GGGAGGGAGGGGACGAACAGCCAGGGCAGGGUGGGGACAGAGCCCUGGAAAGGGACACGGGGGGAGCGCGUGGAGAUAGAAAAAUUGUCAGGGAGAAAAACCCGAAAUCAGCCCAAAAAAACGAACCGAGGGUCACCGCCCAGGGCCCGGGGGUGUCCCCAAGUCUGUCCCGCCAGGGGGACGCGGUACCGAGGGCGGGGGUGGUGACCCAGGGGGUGACACGGUGGCACGGCCCGGGGCAGGGCUGGGGGACAGCGGUGUCGCCAGGGCGGGGCCGGUGCCAGGGUGACACCCCUGUCCCCAGGACAGGUGACAGCGACAAUCCUGUCCCCACAGCUGGGCGCCAGUGCCAGUGUGAGUCCCCAAGGUGGACACUGGCACAGGGGUGACACGGCUGUCCCCAGGACAAUGCUGGGGUGACACUGCUGUCCCCAGGGCACGUACCAGUGUGGCAAUCCUGUCCCCAAGGUGAGUCCCAGUGCCAGUGUGUCAGUCCUCAAGGUGGGCACUGGCGCUGGGGUGACACUGCUGUCCCCAAGCUGGGCACUGGGGUGACACUGCUGUCCUCAGGGCAGGUACCAGCAUUGCAAUCCUGUCCCCAAGCUGGGUGCUGAUGCCAGGAGUCCGUGUCCAGCCGGGUACCAGUGCCAGGUGUCCAUCCUCAGCCGGGUACCGGUGCCAGGUGUCCAUCCCAGCCAGGUAUCAAUGCCAGGUGUCCAUCAUCAGCCGGGUACCAGUGCCAGGUGUCCAUCCCAGCCGGGUAUCAAUGCCACGUGUCCAUCCCAGCUGGGUACCAAUGCCAGGUGUCCAUCCCAGCCAGGUACCAAUGCCAGGUGUCCAUCCCAGCCGGGUACCGGUGCCAUGCCGUGCCGUGCCCGCACCGCGCCGGCCCCCGGAGCCGAGGAAGGCGCCGCUCACACCGACGACUCCUCGGGGUUGGAGUCGGGCAGGGGCUGGCGCUGCUGCAGCUUGCGCCGCAGCUCCUCGGCCAGGUCGGCGCAGGCCGGGCGCUCCUCGCUGCCCAGCGCCAGCCGGAUGUAGGGGGGGGGGGGGGGGGGGGGGGGGGGGGGGGGGGGGGGGGGGGGGGGGGGGGGGGGGGGGGGGGGGGGGGGG
rnacentral:lncRNA from 12 species